GGAAUCUUGCGCAAUGGGCGAAAGCCUGACGCAGCAACGCCGCGUGCGGGAUGAAGGCCUUCGGGUUGUAAACCGCUUUUAACAGGAACGAAAAUGACGGUACCUGUAGAAUAAGGUGCGGCCAACUACGUGCCAGCAGCCGCGGUGACACGUAGGCACCAAGCGUUGUCCGGAUUUAUUGGGCGUAAAGAGCUCGUAGGCGGUUCAGUAAGUCGGGUGUGAAAACUCUGGGCUUAACCCAGAGACGCCACUCGAUACUACUGUGACUAGAGUUCGGUAGGGGAGCGGGGAAUUCCUAGUGUAGCGGUGAAAUGCGCAGAUAUUAGGAGGAACACCGGUGGCGAAGGCGCCGCUCUGGGCCGAUACUGACGCUGAGGAGCGAAAGCGUGGGUAGCAAACAGGAUUAGAUACCCUGGUAGUCCACGCCGUAAACGGUGGGCACUAGGUGUGGGCUCCAACCAACGGAGUCCGCGCCGUCGCUAACGCAUUAAGUGCCCCGCCUGGGGAGUACGGCCGCAAGGUUAAAACUCAAAUGAAUUGACGG
rnacentral:rRNA from 1 species